AGUCGAACGGUAGCACAGAGAGCUUGCUCUCGGGUGACGAGGGGCGGACGGGUGAGUAAUGUCUGGGAAACUGCCUGAUGGAGGGGGAUAACUACUGGAAACGGUAGCUAAUACCGCAUAACGUCGCAGGACCAAAGUGGGGGACCUUCGGGCCUCAUGCCAUCAGAUGUGCCCAGAUGGGAUUAGCUUGUAGGUGAGGUAACGGCUCACCUAGGCGACGAUCCCUAGCUGGUCUGAGAGGAUGACCAGCCACACUGGAACUGAGACACGGUCCAGACUCCUACGGGAGGCAGCAGUGGGGAAUAUUGCACAAUGGGCGCAAGCCUGAUGCAGCCAUGCCGCGUGUAUGAAGAAGGCCUUCGGGUUGUAAAGUACUUUCAGCGAGGAGGAAGGCGAUAAGGUUAAUAACCUUGUCGAUUGACGUUACUCGCAGAAGAAGCACCGGCUAACUCCGUGCCAGCAGCCGCGGUAAUACGGAGGGUGCAAGCGUUAAUCGGAAUUACUGGGCGUAAAGCGCACGCAGGCGGUCUGUCAAGUCGGAUGUGAAAUCCCCGGGCUCAACCUGGGAACUGCAUCCGAAACUGGCAGGCUAGAGUCUUGUAGAGGGGGGUAGAAUUCCAGGUGUAGCGGUGAAAUGCGUAGAGAUCUGGAAGAAUACC
rnacentral:rRNA from 1 species